rnacentral:snRNA from 1 species
UCAUUUCUCAGCCUUUUGGCUAAGAUCAAGUAUGG